GUACACUCCUGCGGGAGGCAGCAGUGGGGAAUAUUGGACAAUGGGCGCAAGCCUGAUCCAGCCAUGCCGCGUGAGUGAUGAAGGCCCUAGGGUUGUAAAGCUCUUUCACCGGUGAAGAUAAUGACGGUAACCGGAGAAGAAGCCCCAGCUAACUUCGUGCCAGCAGCCGCGGUAAUACGAAGGGGGCUAGCGUUGUUCGGAUUUACUGGGCGUAAAGCGCACGUAGGCGGACUAUUAAGUCAGGGGUGAAAUCCCGGGGCUCAACCCCGGAACUGCCUUUGAUACUGGUAGUCUUGAGUUCGAGAGAGGUGAGUGGAAUUCCGAGUGUAGAGGUGAAAUUCGUAGAUAUUCGGAGGAACACCAGUGGCGAAGGCGGCUCACUGGCUCGAUACUGACGCUGAGGUGCGAAAGCGUGGGGAGCAAACAGGAUUAGAAACCCUAGUAGUCCCAU
rnacentral:rRNA from 1 species